rnacentral:rRNA from 1 species
UACGUAGGCAGCGAGCGUUGUUCGGAGUUACUGGGCGUAAAGCGUGCGUAGGCGGUUGUCUAAGUUUGGUGUGAAAUCUCCCGCUUAACUGGGAGGGUGCGCCGAAAACUGGGUGACUGGAGUGUCGGAGAGGUAAGCGGAAUUCCUGGUGUAGCGGUGAAAUGCGUAGAUAUCGGGAGGAACACCAGUGGCGAAGGCGGCUUUCUGGGCCUUACCUGACGCUGAGACGCGAAAGCGUGGGGAGCGAACCGG